GAGCCCCUGCGGUGUCCGUGAUUGGCAGAGCGUUCCUGAGCCAACACCAACAAACGGGGGGUUCCCGCUCGUUCCGGUGAGCGCGUCGCAUCGCCGAUGCGCCUAAAGGAACGAUGGAACGCCCACUUCGCUGAAUCGGUUCAAGACCGACUGCCGACACGGCACAAGGCGGGGGCUUC
rnacentral:other from 1 species